rnacentral:lncRNA from 1 species
GGAUUCUACUGCUGUCUGUCUCUUCCUGGUUAUGGAUUCUACUGCUGUCUGUCUCUUCCUGGUUAUGGAUUCUAGUGCUGUCUGUCUCUUCCUGGUUAUGGAUUCUACUGCUGUCUGUCUCUUCCUGGUUAUGGAUUCUACUGCUGUCUGUCUCUUCCUGGUUAUGGAUUCUACUGCUGUCUGUCUCUUCCUGGUUAUGGAUUCUAGUGCUGUCUGUCGCUUCCUGGUUAUGGAUUCUACUGCUGUCUGUCUCUUCCUGGUUAUGGAUUCUACUGCUGUCUGUCUCUUCCUGGUUAUGGAUUCUACUGCUGUCUGUCUCUUCCUGGUUAUGGAUUCUACUGCUGUCUGUCUCUUCCUGGUUAUGGAUUCUACUGCUGUCUGUCUCUUCCUGGUUAUGGAUUCUAGUGCUGUCUGUCGCUUCCUGGUUAUGGAUUCUACUGCUGUCUGUCUCUUCCUGGUUAUGGAUUCUACUGCUGUCUGUCGCUUCCUGGUUAUGGAUUCUACUGCUGUCUGUCUCUUCCUGGUUAUGGAUUCUACUGCUGUCUGUUGCUUCCUGGUUAUGGAUUCUACUGCUGUCUGUGUUUAGUUCUGUCUUCUUUUGAAGAAUUAUGCCAUCAGUUAUUGAGAAAAGAAAGAGAAAGCAUGUCUUGUGUUUAAAAUGCUUAAAAUGUAAGAGUCUGAUCUGAUUAAUUUAUAUCAGGGCAAGCCGUAGAUAUACAUAACAGAGUUCUGCAAACUAUCCUCCAUUUUAGCUCCAAAUUUCCAUUCCCAAUCUCCAUGGAUAACUCUAUUUAUGGGUAAAACUUUGACUCUUUUGGUUUUGCCCUCUCCCACGCUCUGAGUUUAUUUUCACAUUGACAGUGGACCAGGCCAGUCCCGUCUUAGAGAUGAAGUGCAGUGAUGAAAAAAUAAUGUCGAAAAAUUGUCCAAGUCAACGUGGAUUUCCUUGUUGUUAUUGCUGUCAUUGUCCAAUUUGUGCUUCACUACAGAGUCUGAUGUUUGGAUUGAAUCCAAAAGGGUGUGCUGUAUGUUGCUCCUAGCCUGUGUGGUUGCCAGAUGUGUUUCUGCUUUAGCCCACUUUAGUAAACUGUUUUGUUGACUCAAACACUGGUUGGUUGUAGUGACCAUGACAUUGUGGCAAUAACGAGGAAAGCCAAAUUGCCAAAGGUUGGGCCUAAACUAAUUUAUAAAAGAUCAUAAAAAAUGUUUUCUAGGACUCUUCUGUUGAAGAUGUAUAACAUGUAUGUUGGUCUGAUGUGUAUGAGGAAGGGAAUCCAGAUGCAGCACUGGAAGUAUUUGUAGAAAUAUUCCUGCCAGUUGUUGACCAGCACCUGUUAAGAAUAUAACUGUAAGAACUGUUAGGGCCCCUGGAUUGAUGAUGAAUUUAAGAAUUAUUUGGUUCAUAGACACAAUGCAAAAGAGAUGGCAUACAAGUCAGGCUGCUCAGCUGAUUGGUUGACAUUCUGUAACUUGAGACAUUUUGUGACUAAACUUAACAAAAAUAAGAUUUUUUUUUCUAUUAGCAAACAAACCAAGAUAAAUGACAUAAAACACAAUGGAAAAGGCUUUGGAGCACCUUAAAUGAUAUCAUGGGCAGAAAACCCAAUUCAUCUCCAUCGUUCAUUGAAGUUGAUGGAUAAUUUAUAACAAAACCUUUCGAUGUUAGCCAUUCAUUUCAAUUACUAUCUCACUAGUAGUGGAAAAAAUCACAAGUGAAAUUACAACAUUGAACAAGUGAACCAUCAUAUUGUUAUAUAAAAUAUCUAAUAAUGAAAAAGAAGGAUUGCUGUUUUGAAUUUGGUCAAGUUAGUGCUGGAGAGGUGGAAAAACUAUUGUUAUCCAUCAGUAAUGAUAAGCCACCAGGUAUAGACAACCUUAAUUAACCUAUUGAGGACGGUAGCAGACUGUAUUGCCACCCCUAUUUGAUAUAUCUUUAACCAAAGCCUAAAGGAAUGGGUGUGUCCACAGGCGUGGAAGGAAGCUAAACAAAUUCCACUGCCUAAAAAUAGUAAAGCACCCUUUGCUGGCUCUAACAGCCGCCCAAUCAGUUUGCUGCCUGUUCUUAGUAAACUGAUGGAGAAAAUUGUGUUUGACCAAAUACAAUGCAAUUUUUCAGAGAACAAGUUAACGACUGACUUUCAGCAUGCAUAUAGGGAAGGGCACUCAACUUGUACUGCACUGACUCAGAUGACUGAUGAUUGGUUAAAAGAAAUGGAUAGUAAGAUAGUAGUUGGAGCUGAAUUGUUAGAUUUUUAUUGAAGAAACUCACUUGCUAUGGCUUUACAUCACCUGCUAUUUGGUUGGAAUGUUGGAUAAGUAACAUUCCAUUGGGUUGGAAUGUUGGAUAAGUAACAUUCCAUUGGGUUGGAAUGUUGGAUAAGUAACAUUCCAUUGGGUUGGAAUGUUGGAUAAGUAACAUUCCAUUGGGUUGGAAUGUUGGAUAAGUAACAUUCCAUUGGGUUGGAAUGUUGGAUAAGUAACAUUCCAUUGGGUUGGAAUGUUGGAUAAAUAACAUUCCAUUCGGUUGGAAUGUCGAAUAAAUAACAUUCCAUUCGGUUGGAAUGUUAUUUAUCCAAUAGAACCCAGAGAGUGUUUGUCAAUGGAAGCUUCUCUAACAUCAGAUAUGUACAGUGCGGUGUCCCUCAGGGCAGUUGACUUGGGCCGUUACUCUUCUCUAUUAUUACAAAUGAUUUGCCACUGGUCUUACACAAAGCUAGAACGACUAAUGCGGAUGAUUCCACACUCUACAUGUCAGCACCAAAAGCCAGUGAGCUCACUGAAAUUCUAGUUAAAGUUAGUAUCAGAAUGGGUGAUUAAUGAUGAACAGGUUUUUAAUAAAUAUAGAACUAAAAGCAUUGUGUUUGGUUCAAAACAUUCUCCAAGACCUAAACCUAAACCGGAGUUGUACAUAAAGGGUGUGGAUGUCGAUUAAGGCAACCCCCCCACGUGCACCUCUCUGAUUCAGAGGGGUUGGGUUAAAUGUGGAUGACACAUUUCAGUUUAAUACAUUCAGUUGGACAACUGACUAGGUGUCCCCCCUUUCCCCAUUGAGCAAGUUGAGGAAGCUAAACUCCUAGGUAUAACAUCGGAUGGUCAAUUAUCAUGGUCAAGUCAUAUUGACAGUGUUGUUGUGAAGUCGGGGAGGGGUAUGUCUGUUAUAAAAACAUGUUCUGCGUUUUUGACACAAAGAUCAACUGUACUAGUUGUUCAGGCUCUGAUCUUGUCCCAUCUUAAUAACCGUCCGCUAAUAUGGUCAAGUGUAUCAAAGAAAGACAUAGCAAAGCUGCAGCUCAAAACAGAGCAGCACCUUUAAAGGCCCAUAUACAACUAACAUCGUCAACAACAACAACUAACAACAACAUCAACUAACAUCAACUUUCCUGGUUGAGGAUUGACGAGAGAUUAGCUAUUUUUCUUCUAGUUUUUACGAGAUAAAAUGACUGUAAUGAAAAUGACAGAUUGUCUGCAUAAUCAAAUAACAUUCAGCUCAGACACCCGUACAUACCCCUACAAGACAUGCCACCAGGGGUCUCUUCAGACACCCAGACAUACCCCCACAAGACAUGCCACCAGGGGUCUCUUCAGACACCCAGACAUACCCCUACAAGACAUACCACCAGGGGUCUCUUCAGACACCCAGACAUACCCCCACAAGACAUACCACCAGGGGUCUCUUCAGACACCCAGACAUACCCCCACAAGACAUACCACCAGGGGUCUCUUCAGACACCCAGACAUACCCCCACAAGACAUGCCACCAGGGGUCUCUUCAGACACCCAGACAUAUCCCCACAAGACAUACCACCAGGGGUCUCUUCAGACACCCAGACUUACCCCACAAGACAUGCCACCAGGGGUCUCUUCAGACACCCAGACUUACCCCACAAGACAUGCCACCAGGGGUCUCUUCAGUCCCAAAGUCCAAAAGGAAUUCACGGCAACUCACAGUAUUAUUAUACAGAGCCAUGAUCACAUAGAACUCUUCCAUCUCCUGUUAGUCAGCAAACAGCAGAAUGACCUUUAAACACUGAUUAAACAACAACUCAUAAAACAGACUGUGAGGACACAGACACACACACACACACACACUCUAACACACACACAGAUAUACUACAUGUAUUUACAUGUGUCUCGAUGCACUGAAUUGCACAAGCUUGUGAGAGGUAGCUUUUUGAGAACCAGACUUUUUUUUAAGGAAAGGUUAUUUUGCUUCUUCUGGUCCACAAAAAAGCUACAUCUCCACAUAACAUUGCUGUAAUGUAAAGGUUGGCAUAACAUUGCUGUAAUGUAAAGGUUGGCGUAACAUUGCUGUAAAGUAAAGGUUGGCGUAACAUUGCAGCACUGUAACAUUUCUGCAACGUUUAGGCAACACUUGCUUACAGGAAGUUGACCUUCAAAGCCCUACACAGCUCUUUGUAGGUAUCUGCCAGACUUGAAAGAAUGAUGCAUUAUUACAAACGUUGAGGAAAUAAUCUUUCCAUAACUUAAAUGUAACAUUUCAAUAGUUUGCUGCACUGUGAAUGGAAACGCUGACACAACGUUAGGCUCUUUAUCCUGUCUGUGUAGGCAGGAGAUGCCAGACUUAAAGUUAUCAGAUGUAAUGCAAAGCCCCUGUGGAUGGAAGACUGUACAAACAAGGCUAAUUUACCUAUAUCAGGAGUCGGCAACAGACGGGCCCAAACCGGUCGAAAAAAAACAGUCAAAUCACCAGAAAUUCAGCCCAAAAAUAUUGCAUAAUUUAGGAAAUCUGAUCCCAAGUAUUCCCAGGAAUCAAUAAAGAGACAUAUGUAAUGGUACCUCGGUAUAAUCAAGGUAUUUGAAAAUACAAUCUCUUUUUGAUCUUAGUUGUGGUCAAUUUGCAGUGUACAAAUGUAUGGAAUUAUGUUCUGGCCCCCCGGACCAGAAAAAUCAUCUUGUGGCUGAAUCUAGUUGCCAAGCCCUGAUGUACAGUAUGUCUUUCAGGGGUAAAGGCUGAUUCUGAUAUAUGCAUUUAAAUAGUGUAUAUAUAUAUAUGUAUAUAUAUAUACUAUAGACACUGUAGACAUGUUAUAUAUAUUAAUGACAAUUAGCAGAUCACAUUGAUUUCAUCCUAAUUAUAAUCAUUUUUAAUUUGAAAAGUACAUUUUUCUGUCUUUUGUCUUUUGUGCAAUAAUAUUAUUGUGUGUAGAGAGAUAGCCCUAAUAUUGAGAUGUACAGUUGAAUGAAUUGAAUGAACUGAAUCUAAAAUAAUAAAAUGUAGACAUGUUAUCUAUGAGUACUCAGUGUUGUUCAGUACAUCUAUUUCCUGUCUUGUAAUUACACCACAGGUGUGUUGAGGUAGCAUAGUUCUUCUUUGAAUAAAUUUGAAUAAUCCAAGAUUCAAAUGUUUGCAAAUGGGUUUGGAGAACACAUACAGUGCAUACAGCCUUAUUCUAAAAUGGAUUAAAUCGUUUUUUUUUCCCCCUCAUCUAUCUACACACAAUACCCGAUAAUGACAAAUCAAAAAUAUAUUUUUAGAAAUUUUUGCAAAUGUAUUCAAAAUAAAAAACAGAAAUAUAGCUUAUUUACAUAAGUAUUCAGACCCUUUUCU